rnacentral:tRNA from 1 species
CGGGUGAUUAGCUCAGCUGGGGGAGCACCCCCCUUCCAAGGAGGGGGUCAGCGGUUCGGAUCCGUCCACCCCC